AUGAAACAAGAGGGACAGCUCACAAUCAGUGAGGACAGGAUGAGGUGUAUACAUACCCCAGCUUCCUCAUCUCUCCGGUGGAACAGCCCAGAGGAAUUUACUCCAUGUUUCCACAUGUGGGUGAUCUUCAUUUCUCCUGAGUCAGCUAUACUGGAGGUUAGAGAUUCAAGACAAGAAUUUCCGAAGCACAAUUCGGUCCAUAGCAGGGAAAGCUGCACCUGUGCACAUGACAAGAGCAUGAGCUACACUUCGCCUCACUUAUUUUUUGAGGUAAACAGCUUGCUUGAUCCAAAUCCAUAUCAUAGACGAAUUUCCUGACACUGAUAAAAGCACUUGGAAAAUCCUCAAGU
rnacentral:lncRNA from 1 species